ACAUGCCUAUAGCAUAGAAUUAAGACACUAUAUCCCAUUAGAACUUUGCAGUUACGCACUCUCAAGCUAGAGUAGUACUUGGAUGGGUGACUGCAAGGGAAGUCCUAAUAUUUUACAUGCC
rfam:Picea glauca, whole genome shotgun sequence.